rnacentral:lncRNA from 1 species
UUCUCUGUAAGAUUAUCUCCUAGGAGAAUAUCCAAUAAAUCUUCUACAUUCAAUUCUCCAUCUCAGAGUCUCCAUACCAGGGAAACCAAUCAACAUCAAAAGAAAAUUCAUCCUACUCCCCUAUAAACUUAAAAAAACUUUUUUCCUCCUUAUUUAAAGCUUUACUCUUUAAUUAGCAACCAUAAAAACAAACAAACCAGCCAUGGUAGGACUCAAAGGCAAAGGCAGAAACCCCCAAACAGCCAUUUUCCCCUAACUUCUCAGGCUUAAAGAGAGUUUAAACCAGACCAGACUCAUCCCAGCUCUGGCGACAGCCUACUGUCUGCAUUCUGAUUCCAGUCACAAUGCUUAGAACCUGGUUGCGCUUCAUUCAAGGGCCUCAUUCAAGGGUAUUCAUUGCUUCUUCCUUCUCUUUUCCACCUCCUGAAAUAUUCACCAUCUCAGUACAUAGCAUUAUCAUAUAACCAGGUGAUCAGGUGAGACACUUGGGAAUCACCCUUGACUUCUUCCCCACAUAUCUAUCACUCACCAAGCCAUGUCAAUUAUUUUACUUUUAAAUUUUUUAUUAGACUAUACUUGAUUUACAAUGUUGUGCCAAUUUCUGCUGUACAGCAAAGGUACCCAGUCAUGCAUUCAUAUACAUUCCCUUUCUUAUAUUAUCUUCUAUCACAGUCUAUCGUAAGAGAUUGGAUAUUGUUCUCUGUGUUAUACAGUAGGAUCUCAUUGCUUAUCCAUUCUAAAUGUAAUAGUUUGCAUCCACUAACCCCAAACUCCCUGUUCAUUCCACUCCCUCUCCUCUCUCCCUUGGCAACCAAAAGUCUGUUCUCUAUGUCUGCAAGUUACAUCAAUUCUAAUUCCCAAAUAUCUUUCAGGUUAAUCUUACUUCCUCCAUUUUUACUACAACUUAUUCAGUUCCAGGAAGCCUCUCCUCUCCCAAGACUAUUCCAGUGCAUCCCAACCAGCAAGCCAGGGCUAGAAGCUGGUCAUCUCAAUGCUUGGCUGGCUGUAUGGGACCUGAGGUAGCCAGGACUUGCCACUCAUUUGCAUUUAUCCAAAAAUAACCUCUUCCAGGGGUCCAGAUUACCACCAGGGUCCCGGCAUUUUCCAUACAACAUUAUCAUGUUCUGUGUAUGUCAUGCUGUGAAAAAGACAGAAAAUUACCCUUGCCACUUGGUCCUAGAAGGUCCCUCGUUCAUGGGUCUCCCCUCCCCUAGAGUAGAUGAUAAGCCCCUUAAAGACAGGGACUUGGCAUUUUCUGUCUUUCUGUUGUCCAGAGUUCAGCCUAAGCCUAGCAACCAGCAGUCGCUCACCAAAUAUUUGAUGAAUAAAUCAAUAAACUAGUUAAUCCAUCCUUCAAAAGAAGAAAGGAGGAAAAGGAUGCAAAGAAAGAGGAAACAAUGGAAACAAGAAAGGGAAUGGAAAAGAAACCAGUUUCUCAUCCUUCCAAGAGUCUUGUUCCUGGUAUUGAACUGAUUGCCAUGAUGAGGGAUCUCAUUUAGAAGAUAAGAGGAAUGUUGACAAUCUGGAAAACCAGGUUUUCAAUCACAGCCACAUCUUCUCAUUUGGUCCUUUUUAGUGUAUAAUCUCCAAGAUGGCUUAUAAUACCAGCUUGGGCAGUGAAGUACUUUGCCCAACAGAGAGGAAUCAAUAAAUAUGAAUUAAUAACAAUAAUGAAGGAAUAAGUAGGUGGAUCCAGAAUGAAAUGGCUAAGCAAACUUCACCUGAGGCAAAUCUACCACCAGGAUGGACGUUUUAUACUAUUGGUCCUGCCUGUUGAAUUACAACUCUUUUUGACAGUAGACAAACACCGGUCAACAAGUGGAAAAAUACGUGUUCAUGUCCCAGCUCAACUAGGUACUAGAGCUGUGACUUUGGGGGAGGCAUUUAAUUUCUUUGAACGUGCAUGUCUUUGUCUGCAAUAAGGCAGGAUUGGAUUCGAUGAUGUUCAUGUCCACUUCUAAUGCCAAGAUUCUAUCCUGAUCUGUGCUGUUAUUUUGAGCUCUCUCAAUGUCUGUCAAUCCAUUGGUUUUUUUUCAAAUGGAAAAUAUUAAUUCAAACUGCCUAGUGUUUUACUAGUGUUAUCUAAAAAUAAACUUUAAAACAGGAGCCAGGAAACUAUUCUGUGAAACAAUGCACGUCAGCUUUUAACCAACUGCAGCCUUCUUCUUCUUCACCUCUUAAAGCAUGUGCUUCAAACAGGACAGAUAAUGAGAGAACAUACAUACUUAUUUACCAAGUUGACCUAUCAAAGAGGAGGGGAAAAAAAAAAACCACAUGGAAAUUUAGGCAACUGUUGACUGCUAGAGAUUAUUCAGAUGGGAAGUCUGACGUAAACUCGCACAACAGAAAUUGAAAAAAAUUAUAAAUCAACUAUACUUUAAGAAAAGAAAAACAAAGCCAAAAAGAAGGAAAGAAAGAAAGAGAAAGAAAGAAAGAAAGAAAGAAAGAAAGAAAGAAAGAAAGAAAGAAAAAAA